CGACGGCGGGUAGUGCUUGGGGAC
rnacentral:miRNA from 1 species